rnacentral:rRNA from 1 species
GUCCAUGCCGUAAACGUUGGGCACUAGGUGUGGGGGACAUUCCACGUUUUCCGCGCGUAGCUAACGCAUUAAGUGCCCCGCUGGGAGUACGGCCGCAAGGCUAAAACUCAAAGGAAUUGACGGGGGCCCGCACAAGCGGCGGAGCAUGCGGAUUAAUUCGAUGCAACGCGAAGAACCUUACCAAGGCUUGACAUGAACCAGACCGCGCUAGAAACAGUGGUUUCCCCUUUGGGGUUGGUUUACAGGUGGUGCAUGGUUGUCGUCAGCUCGUGUCGUGAGAUGUUGGGUUAAGUCCCGCAACGAGCGCAACCCUCGUUCCAUGUUGCCAGCGGGUAGUGCCGGGGACUCAUGGGAGACUGCCGGGGUCAACUCGGAGGAAGGUGGGGACGACGUCAAAUCAUCAUGCCCCUUAUGUCUUGGGCUUCACGCAUGCUACAAUGGCCGGUACAAAGGGUUGCGAUACUGUGAGGUGGAGCUAAUCCCAAAAAGCCGGUCUCAGUUCGGAUUGGGGUCUGCAACUCGACCCCAUGAAGUCGGAGUCGCUAGUAAUCGCAGAUCAGCAACGCUGCGGUGAAUACGUUCCCGGGCCUUGUACACACCGCCCGUCAAGUCACGAAAGUUGGUAACACCCGAAGCCGGUGGCCUAACCCCUUGUGGGAGGGAGCUGUCGAAGGUGGGACUGGCGAUUGGGACUAUAGUCGUAACAAGGUAGCCGACCGAAACGCCC